AGCUCCAAUAGCGUAUAUUAAAGUUGUUGCAGUUAAAAAGCUCGUAGUUGGAUUCCUGGUUAGAGUGGCCGGUCUGGUCCGAAUGGGCUAGUACUUUUGAGCUGUCUUUGACCUUCCUUUGGGAGAAACUGUGUUGUUAUUCAUUUAGCAGUGCAGGGGACCCCAAUCGUUUACUGUGAAAAAAUUAGAGUGUUUAAAGCAGGCAUUUGCUGUGAAUACAUUAGCAUGGAAUAAUAAGAUAGGACUUUGGUGCUAUUUUGUUGGUUUGCACACCAAGGUAAUGAUUAACAGGGACAGUUGGGGGUAUUCGUAUUUAAUUGUCAGAGGUGAAAUUCUUGGAUUUAUGAAAGACGAACUACUGCGAAAGCAUUUACCAAGGAUGUUUUCAUUAAUCAAGAAC
rnacentral:rRNA from 1 species